CAUCUAGAUUAGAGUUNUCGAUCAUUGGCUCAGAGUGAACGCUGGCGGUAGGCCUAACACAUGCAAGUCGAACGGCAGCACAGGAGAGCUUGCUCUCUGGGUGGCGAGUGGCGGACGGGUGAGGAAUACAUCGGAAUCUACUCUGUCGUGGGGGAUAACGUAGGGAAACUUACGCUAAUACCGCAUACGACCUACGGGUGAAAGCAGGGGAUCUUCGGACCUUGCGCGAUUGAAUGAGCCGAUGUCGGAUUAGCUAGUUGGCGGGGUAAAGGCCCACCAAGGCGACGAUCCGUAGCUGGUCUGAGAGGAUGAUCAGCCACACUGGAACUGAGACACGGUCCAGACUCCUACGGGAGGCAGCAGUGGGGAAUAUUGGACAAUGGGCGCAAGCCUGAUCCAGCCAUACCGCGUGGGUGAAGAAGGCCUUCGGGUUGUAAAGCCCUUUUGUUGGGAAAGAAAUCCAGCUGGCUAAUACCUGGUUGGGAUGACGGUACCCAAAGAAUAAGCACCGGCUAACUUCGUGCCAGCAGCCGCGGUAAUACGAAGGGUGCAAGCGUUACUCGGAAUUACUGGGCGUAAAGCGUGCGUAGGUGGUCGUUUAAGUCCGUUGUGAAAGCCCC
rnacentral:rRNA from 1 species